UAUGCAAAGUUAACUUUAAAAUAUUUCAACUUUUUAUCAGGGCAGCUGUGCUGAGAAUACAGCAAAGAAGCUGAAUAUUGCACGAAAUGAACAGGACGCUUAUGCUAUUAAUUCUUAUACCAGAAGUAAAGCAGCAUGGGAAGCUGGGAAAUUUGGAAAUGAAGUUAUUCCUGUCACAGUUACAGUAAAAGGUCAACCAGAUGUAGUGGUGAAAGAAGAUGAAGAAUAUAAACGUGUUGAUUUUAGCAAAGUUCCAAAGCUGAAGACAGUUUUCCAGAAAGAAAAUGGCACAGUAACAGCUGCCAAUGCCAGUACACUGAAUGAUGGAGCAGCUGCUCUGGUUCUCAUGACGGCAGAUGCAGCAAAGAGGCUCAAUGUUACACCACUGGCAAGAAUAGUAGCAUUUGCUGACGCUGCUGUAGAACCUAUUGAUUUUCCAAUUGCUCCUGUAUAUGCUGCAUCUAUGGUGAGAACAAAGUGAGGGACGAUACUCCAUUAUGCUAGCUUCUGGUUUGCUUAUACCAAGGUUGCAGUUUUUAAGAUUUUAAAUGUUAUCUGCCAAAGCA
rnacentral:sRNA from 1 species